UUCCCCCAUCCACUCUCUCUCACUACUCUCUCUCUACACACUCUCUCUCAUUACUCUCUCUCUACACACUCUCUCUCCUCUCUCGGUCAAAAGAGCUUUUUGCUGCGACAGACACACUACACUGCUACUAUUUAAAACCCUAAUUCGUCAGUAAUCAAUCCUCUACUGGCCUUCCCUUUCUCUUUAAAAAAAAGGGGUUUUCUGAAACUGGGUAAUUAACGUUGUUGACGGUGGUGGUGGUGUUGUUGAUAUGGAUUCCUAUGAGGCAACUAAGAUUGUCUUCUCCAGAAUCCAGUCUUUGGAUCCUGAAAAUGCUUCAAAGGCCAUGGGCUACAUUCUAUGGCAAGACCUAGGGGAGAAGGAAAUGAUUCGUCUGGCCUUCGGGCCGGAAACCCUUUUGAUUUCAUUCAUUACUCAAGCCAAAUCUCAUCUGGGUCUUCCGUCCGGGGCAUUUCCCCCUACACCUUCAACUCCUACUUCUCCAUCCCCUUUCAAUCCUUUGGCGAAUCCGACAAGACCCACCUCUCAUUUGCAUCAAUCUUCACCCAGAAUCGUGAUUCCUAACAAUGGCUUCCAUGUGAACCCAUCUUCUCCUUCUUCGCCUUGGUCGAUUUCUGGGUUUUCCGAUCACCGGAGCCCUAACAGUCACAUCAGUCCUAGACCGGGUUCUUCUCUUUCUUACGCUGCUGUCGUUAAUGGAAGCGGCAGUAACGGUGUUUCUGGAUCGUUUUCUCCUCCCGCCGCUACUUCAUUUCCGCCGCCGUUUUACAACAACGGCAGCGGCGGCGGUGACCCUAGUGGCGACUACAACGCCGCUCAUGUGCAAGAGCAACUCUCCUUCAUCGACGAUUCCUCUUCCGGAAACGUUGAUUUUGCAGAUCCAAUAAUGAGUCCUAGCGGUCGGAGCGAUUCGGUUGCGUUCCCGUUCGGAAAUUCUGGCGAGAACCACCACCACCACGCCCACCGUCGUAGCUGUUCUGUGAGUGACGCGUUCCUUGGCGGAGGAGGAGGAGGAGUUUCUGAUGAUGGCGGCGCUGGGAUUGGUUGGAGGCCUUGUAUGUAUUUUGCAAGAGGUUUCUGUAAAAAUGGUAGCACUUGCAAAUUCAUACACGGAGGCGGCCCUUUUGCCGAUUCUCCAGACGACUCUGAUGUUGGCUCGCCGGGAAAAAUGGAUGGCUUCGAAGAGUUUCUGAGGAUGAAAGCCAUUCAACAGCAGAGAUUCGCUGCAACCUCUCAGUUAAUGGCUGGUGGGCCUUUCCCUUACAACAAAUGCAUGAGCUUCAUGAAUGAUUCUCCAAGAUCUGCCGCAGCAGCUGCCGCAGCAUUGAUGAUGGGGGAUGAUAUUUACAAGUUUGGUAGAUUCCGUGGAGAAAGAUCUGAUUUUUUAGCCAUUGCAAAUGCUAAUUCCAGUUCCAGGCAGAUUUACUUGACAUUUCCAGCUGAUAGCACCUUUAAGGAAGAAGACGUCUCUGCUUAUUUUAGCAAGUUUGGACCAGUUCAGGAUGUUAGGAUUCCUUAUCAGCAGAAGAGAAUGUUUGGGUUUGUUACGUUUAUUUACCCAGAAACUGUGAAGAUGAUUCUAGCAAAAGGAAAUCCCCAUUUUGUUUGUGAUUCCCGUGUGCUUGUAAAGCCUUACAAGGAGAAGGGAAAAGUUCCAGACAAGAAGCAAUAUCAACAUUCACUUGAAAGGGGAGAGUUUCCUUCUGGAAUCGAUCCUAGGGAGCCCUAUGAUCUUCCCAUUGGACCGAGGAUGCUCUGUGAUCCUCAAGAACUCUUGCUGAGAAGGAAAUUAGAGGAGCAGGCUGAGUUGCAGCAGGUUAUUGAGCUUCAAAGUAGAAGGCUAAGGAGUUUGCAACUUAUGGAUUUAAGGAACCAUCAUCACCACCUUCAUAGCCGUGCAUUUCAUCCCAACUUCCCACAUGGGCUGCCUAGUCCUUCUUCCAUCCCUAAUCAUCAUGCUUUUCAGUUCGAAGAUGCAGCUAUUGAAGACAACAACUCAGAAGGGAACAAUGGAAGAUCACCAUUGACUGCAGAUCAGCAAAAGCAAAUGGGAAGUGGUGAAGUUGUUGAAAAUUAUAUUGAUGAUGGUGAAAAUGAUAACCUUCUUCCUGAAAGCUUGGAGCACAACCUUCCUGAGAAUCUGUUUGCUUCUCCUACAAAAGCAGCAGGUGAAAAUUCUGUAUUCUCGGUUGGUAGUAGAGAAACUAGUAAUGUCUCCAUAAUGCCAGCCACUUCACCUCUGAAUAACAUGUCUUCUAUUAACUCAUGUUACUUUCAAAUGCCAAGGUUUUCCUCUGGGCGAGAAGCCAUUGAAAUGAAUGUAGGUCAUAGGGGAUGACCAUGGUCACAGGGGGGGGGAGGGGGAGGGGAUGGGUGAAGUUAACAUGGUGUGUUGUUGUGUUUAGGAGAUGAAGAAAAGUUUGCUGAAUCUGAUGGAUGGAUGUAUAGGGAAGGGGGGAGAAGGGGUGGAUUGAUGUAUGAAAAGAGGAUCUGUAAGGAAAGAUCUUCUGAAGAUUAUUGUCACCAUCAAAAUACCAUACUAGUUAACAAUACAUAACUCAUACCUAAAAGGACAGAAGACAGAUAGAUGCUUUUCUUUGCUUUCUUUUAAGUAGUAGCUAGUUGUGUGGCUUCUUGCUUUUGCUGCUGGACCACCACACAAUUGCAGAACUCUAUAUAAGCAUAACAAAAUGCCUAGUUAUGAGAUAAAAAAAAACUCUUUUAUAAUUAGUACUCUUCUUUGUAACUCUUUAAUGUUGAACUCCUUUUUAUUUACUAUUGUUUUUUGUUUCAAA